rnacentral:rRNA from 1 species
UGGCGGUGCUUUAGACUAUUCAGGGGAACCUGUCUCGUAAUCGAUAGUCCACGAUACACCUAACCUUUNUUUAGUUCAGUAUGUAUACCGUCGUCGUCAGGUAACUUUUAAAAACAAAGAAGUUAGCGAAAUUAAUAAUUUUGUACGUCAGAUCAAGGUGCAGCCUAUAAAGGUGAGGAUGGGUUACAAUUUUUAUAAUCGGAAAAAAGCUUGAUACAUUGAAGGAGGACGAAAGUAAAUACAAAUUUUUUGAAUUUAGCUCUGAAGCGU